GGGGAUGUAGCUCAGCGGGAGAGUGCACGCUUUGCACGUAUGACGUCCCAGGUUCAAUCCCUGGCAUCUCCA